rnacentral:lncRNA from 1 species
UCUGCUUGUCUCUCAAAAUCAUGCUAUUAGUAGCUGACUUUGGUGGACUAAUCAUUCCUUAUAAUAAACUCGACUCUGAUUUAAAUUUUGACUUAUUUAUCAUAUAAACUGUUGGAAAUAUAGGUUAAUUUUAUGUAUGCAUGCAUGCGCAUAUAUAGUAUAAUACUAUUAUUAUUUCAGGUGUUGAAUAUUAUAUAUAAAAAAAAUUCUAUCAAUAAAAUAAUUUAAAUGGUAGGAUUUGUACGUACAUAAACCUGUUAAUUUUAUCCGAUCCCGACUCUAACAGAACUAGAUUUCUAAAUUAUAUAAGCUAAAUAGAAAC